UGGGGAAUUUUGCGCAAUGGGGGAAACCCUGACGCAGCAACGCCGCGUGAGUGAUGAAGGCCUUUGGGUCGUAAAGCUCUGUCAGAGGGAAAGAAAUGUGGGCGAUUAAUAAUCGUUCCACUUGACGGUACCCUCAAAGGAAGCACCGGCUAACUCCGUGCCAGCAGCCGCGGUAAUACGGAGGGUGCGAGCGUUGUUCGGAAUUAUUGGGCGUAAAGCGCGUGUAGGCGGCUUCAUAAGUCUGAUGUGAAAGCCCUGGGCUCAACCUGGGAAGUGCAUUGGAUACUGUGAGACUUGAGUACGGGAGAGGGCAGUGGAAUUCCUAGUGUAGGAGUGAAAUCCGUAGAUAUUAGGAGGAACACCGGUGGCGAAGGCGGCUGCCUGGACCGAUACUGACGCUGAGACGCGAAAGCGUGGGGAGCAAACAGG
rnacentral:rRNA from 1 species